UACGAAGGGGGCUAGCGUUGUUCGGAAUCACUGGGCGUAAAGCGCACGCAGGCGGAUUGAUAAGUCAGGGGUGAAAUCCCGGGGCUCAACCUCGGAAUUGCCUUUGAUACUGUCUGUCUUGAGUUCGGGAGAGGUUGGCGGAAUUCCUAGUGUAGAGGUGAAAUUCGUAGAUAUUAGGAAGAACACCAGUGGCGAAGGCGGCGACCUGGGUCGAGACUGACGCUGAGGCGCGAAAGCGUGGGGAGCAAACAGG
rnacentral:rRNA from 1 species